AUGGCGAACAAGGGUGCGCCAAGCGGAGUGCAGAAGCAACAUGCUCCACCCCCGCAGAAGAACCCAGCUCGUCGUCAAGGGACCGGUGGGGCGCGUCCCAAUCCCGUUGCCCCUCCCCCCAAAGGCGCUGCCCCUCCCCAACAAGCUCUGGUAGCGCCUCCGCCGCCGGCUCCACCUGCCCCGCUUGUCCAGAUCCUCGACGAGCGGUACAAAGACAUGGUAUGUUUCAAUUGUGGCGGCCCUGGUCAUUACGUGGGUAACUGCAUUCAGAAAAAGAUCUACUUCAUCUGCGGACUGGAAGGCCACAACGUGAACAAUUGCGCUGCCUGGGCUCAACCCCAUCCAGUGGCCACUUUCUUUGGAAGCUCGGCCCUGGGGUUGGGGUUCUACCAUAUCGAUGCACCAGUGGGACGUGAGGCAAACUGGCUCAACUUCAGGAAUUGUGGAGAGGUCUGGGUGAUGAAAGGUGAGAUCAACAGGGCAGAUCUAAUCAAGAACCUGUCGGGCAUCUUUUGCAAGAACAAGAACUGGUCCUGGCAAGUCAGACAACUAGCAGAUAAA
rnacentral:rRNA from 1 species